rnacentral:rRNA from 1 species
CGAUCAUACCAGCACUAAUGCACCGGAUCCCAUCAGAACUCCGCAGUUAAGCGUGCUUUGGCGAGAGUAGUACUGGGAUGGGUGACCUCCUGGGAAGUCCUCGUGUUGCACCCC